AUUGAACGCUGGCGGCAUGCUUUACACAUGCAAGUCGAACGGCAGCGCGGGCUUCGGCCUGGCGGCGAGUGGCGAACGGGUGAGUAAUACAUCGGAACGUGCCCAGUAGUGGGGGAUAGCUCGGCGAAAGCCGGAUUAAUACCGCAUACGACCUGAGGGUGAAAGCGGGGGAUCUUCGGGCCUCGCGCUAUUGGAGCGGCCGAUGGCAGAUUAGCUAGUUGGUGGGGUAAAGGCCUACCAAGGCGACGAUCUGUAGCUGGUCUGAGAGGACGACCAGCCACACUGGGACUGAGACACGGCCCAGACUCCUACGGGAGGCAGCAGUGGGGAAUUUUGGACAAAGGGCGAAAGCCUGAUCCAGCAAUGCCGCGUGUGUGAUGAAGGCCUUCGGGUUGUAAAGCACUUUUGGCGGGAACGAAAAGGACUGUGCCAAUACCACGGUUCGAUGACGGUACCCGCAGAAUAAGCACCGGCUAACUACGUG
rnacentral:rRNA from 1 species